CCCAACAUGGCUGGAGUGCGGCGGAGGUGAGCCGCCGCCCCCUGCCGCCCCAAGCUCCUGCGC
rnacentral:miRNA from 1 species